CGCCGCCCGCGCUCUCCCAAACCCCCGGCAGCCGCCGGCUCGCUAGUUAAGCCAUGCUUAGACGCCAUUUUGAGGCUAAGCCAACAAAAGAGCAGUAUGCGAACAAGAAAAUGGGCAAAAUAUGGAAACAAAUACCAAAAGGUGUGGAUAAAAGAAAAGGAGUUGGAAGAUUAGAUCAAGUCUGUGGUUGGUGAUGACAGUAAAGCUGCAUGCAAAUUUUGUAAAAUCCAGAUUUGUGCACAUCAUGCAGACUUUCUGCAACAUGCAGGGACUGACAAACCUAAAACAAAUGCAACCCCAUUUUCUUCUAUGCACCUGACAGAUACUGGAUUUACAGAAUCAAAGCCUUCAACCAUGAUGCACCAAGCGGAUUUAAAUCUGGCCUGCUACAUUGCCUGCCACUCAGAGAUUAGUUCUGUGGAUCACCUCUGGGAAGUUGUUGGAUCAGCUUUCGAAAAAGCAGGUGGAUUGGGAUUGGAAUUGAUGGCUGUAGCAUCAUGAUCGGGAAGAAAAAGUCUGUCUAGACACAUCUUCUCCAAAGGAAUGAGAAUCUCUGUUUGAUCAAAGCUGGUUUUAUCACAGCUCUCUGAUGUGGUGAAUAUGUGAAGAUGUACCAACUGAUUAGUCACGGUAACAUGCCCUGAAGCUUGGUCAGCUAUCUGACACUAGAUGGCUCUCCAUUCAUGAUUGAUUUAAUCUCUUUCAGGGAAAAUGUCAACUAAUGACAUCUCCAUGCUGAAAAUUUUCAAAGGUGACUUGGGGGCCUUUGCACAGUAUCAAGCCAUCAACUUCCAGCAAUGGCAGAGCACAGAUGAGGACAAUGCAGAGCAGUUCUGGGUGGAAGUAUACAAUUUUCAAGACCAUAGUGGUGAACAGUGCUUUAAAGAGCUAGCCCUGUUCGCACGUUCCCUACUCACCAUGCCUCUGAGUAAUGCUGAUGUGGAACAAGCGUUCACGUUGUUCACCUGAGAGAAGUCCAAGCACCGGAACAGGAUGGGUUGCUGGACUCUGAGCAGUAUACUGCACCUCCACUAUCUGCUAAGAAGACUAGGGAUUUGUUGAAUGGAUUUUGUCCCACACUGGGAUAUGGUUCAAUGUAGGAAUGUACUACAUUGAGGCAACAGACCGUGGAGGAUGCAGAGAGCAAGGAUGACUUUUUUUAACACACUAUGGGAGUCUGAAGAGCCAUGGAUUACACAUGAACAAUCAUGAAAGGCCACUGAGCACCUCAGCAACAUUCCACAUCUGUAUCCCUUUCUAUAGGAAUAUACUAAAUGCAGCUGCUCAGUUUAUAAAUGAGACUUUGAAGACCAUCUCACUUAAACACUGAUAGUCUUUAAUGCUGAAAACAUCUGAGUCUCCAGCCCUUACUCAGCAAAAUAAGUUGACCAGUAAUUAGUUUGGCUGUUUGCAUGAGUAGUCAAAUGGUAGGGAGUAAUGCUUACUGGGCUGCCUGGUGCUCUAAACACCUAGCAAGACAGUCCCUUUCCAGAAAAGCAUACAAGCUAAAUAGACAAGACCGUACAAAGGUAAAGUGACUUGCCCCAAUCACACAGCAGGCUACUGACAGAGCUGAUGAUAGAACCCAGGUGUCCUGACUCCAAUCCAAUCCUUACCCACAGUGUCUGCCUCCUGUAGUAAAGCCUUAUAAAACAAGAGCAUAUUAUGGUGGUAUAGUAAAAGCCCAAAGGUAUAAAAUGCUCUUUUGGUAUUGCAUUGAUAGGGCUAUUCUGUUUGUAUUCCAGUAGUGCCUAGAGGCCUAUAGUGAGACUGGAUUGCUGUAGAAAGGUAAUGGAUUUCAUGCUUUCAGGCAGGUCAGAGUGUCUGUGCAGGGGUUCUUGUGACCUCUCAGGGGGUUGCAAGGCUGAUGGUCCCAAGCCCUCAUUAAAUUAAAUUUCCUCUCCCCAUUUUUAAUUUAUAAGCGGGGGGGUCACACUCAGAGGCUUAGUGUGUGAAAGGGGUCACCAAUGCUAAAAGUUUGGAAACUGUUGAUCUACAGAAUAAGAGGAUGUUGUGCCCUGCUGUAAUGAGUUUUAUGAUGAUUUAAUUUGAGGGAGCAGUUUAAAGGGCUUUUACUUCCAUAUGUACUACUCAGCAGUAUGUGUGGCAGCAGGAAUGCUUCCCUUCCCUCUAUGGAGGAAAACCACUUAAAUAGGAUGGUUAGAGAAAGUGGUGGUCUGGUUACUGUCUGUGAGUACAAUAUGUCAGACUUACUUACUAGAAUGUCUUUCAGUGCUAAAAAUACUGCUUCUAGGGGAUGGUAUAAAUUGAUGCAGGUGUCUGGUUUGCCUGUGUAUUUCAAUGUGUAAUAAAAUAUUUGCGUACUAAA